UCGAGCGAACGGACGAGAAGCUUGCUUCUCUGAUGUUAGCGGCGGACGGGUGAGUAACACGUGGAUAACCUACCUAUAAGACUGGGAUAACUUCGGGAAACCGGAGCUAAUACCGGAUAAUAUUUUGAACCGCAUGGUUCAAAAGUGAAAGACGGUCUUGCUGUCACUUAUAGAUGGAUCCGCGCUGCAUUAGCUAGUUGGUAAGGUAACGGCUUACCAAGGCAACGAUGCAUAGCCGACCUGAGAGGGUGAUCGGCCACACUGGAACUGAGACACGGUCCAGACUCCUACGGGAGGCAGCAGUAGGGAAUCUUCCGCAAUGGGCGAAAGCCUGACGGAGCAACGCCGCGUGAGUGAUGAAAGUCUUCGGAUCGUAAAACUCUGUUAUUAGGGAAGAACAUAUGUGUAAGUAACUGUGCACAUCUUGACGGUACCUAAUCAGAAAGCCACGGCUAACUACGUGCCAGCAGCCGCGGUAAUACGUAGGUGGCAAGCGUUAUCCGGAAUUAUUGGGCGUAAAGCGCGCGUAGGCGGUUUUUUAAGUCUGAUGUGAAAGCCCACGGCUCAACCGUGGAGGGUCAUUGGAAACUGGAAAACUUGAGUGCAGAAGAGGAAAGUGGAAUUCCAUGUGUAGCGGUGAAAUGCGCAGAGAUAUGGAGGAACACCAGUGGCGAAG
rnacentral:rRNA from 1 species